UAUGACACAGAAAUGAGUAUUUAUUUUUUAUUUGGGCCUUCAUUCUCCCUAGCCACUAGUGAUCAACAGGUUUUAGGGCUACUCACUAUGCCAUUCUUUUCUUUGGCCCUUCCUCAACAACAGGAUGCUUCUGGCAAAUAUAGUUUGCUAUAUGAUUUUUCUUUUAACUUUACUUCUCCUCCUCCUUUUUGAUGCCAGACUGGGUGGUGAGCAAUGUCUGGUGCCAGCCCAUGAAUAUUCGUAGAAGAUCUAGGUUCAUCUUCCUGGUUUGUGCCACCUACUUUGAUCUGUUGCCUUGGUCUGAAACUAAGGAGUUAGAAUUUGUAUUAAGUGUUACAUUUGAAUAGGAAGAAUUGUUAUGUUUGGAAUGAAUAUAAAUUCUAAUUCACUUUGAAAUAGUAGAAGCAACAGCAACUCUAAGACCGAAAGUGCUAAGAAAUUGGGGCUGAAGCUGCAAUGCCUGAGGCAUCUGUUACUAUUCAGUAUCUCACCCUCAGAUAAAAUUCAUCUUCCCCACUGGAAUGUGGAGGGGAAUAAUAAAUAAAACUGAUUCUGAGAAGCGCCUGGCAUGUAGAAACUGUGCUAAAAUUCCAGUUAUUCUCUACAAAAAAGGUGGAAAAUCAGACGUUUAAAAAUAGACUUAUUUGAGCAAUACAAGACUAAUCUUUUUAUAUGCAUGAACAUGUGCUUUCUGUUCCAGUUCUACCUACUGGGCACCCUUUAAGCUCAUUCGUCACUAAGCAACAUCAGAAAAGAAGGUUCAAAUCAGAAGCCAUUUCUCACUUUUUUUACUUACUGUAACAACUGGUUUCUAUCCUUCUGUGCAUCAUUCUUACAAUAAAAUUAUUGCAUUUUGUCUUUUUCUGAGUCUCUUUCUAUGGCAGGCAGGUUACAGAAACAGGAGGAAGCAGUGUGGGGAGGGGUUUAUGCUAUGUAGUGUCAGCAUUACAAAGCAGUGCUAGUAGAGGGAUCUCUAACCUGUAGCUUUGCAAGUCUGGGACUCAAAGAAUCAAGUGGAGAGAAAUCUGUCAGUAAAAGGCUCUCAGUGCAUCAGCAAAGACAUAAUUCUGGGAUGGAUAUAGGGAUCCAGACUUUAAACUAGGAGAUUGCAGACUAAGGAUAUGGGGGCUGGUGGCAAACAAGUGAAACAGGGAUGGUAUAGGUCAGAGAUCUGAUUGGCCAGAGUUUUCUUCCUUCAUCACGAUAGCACACUAUACCUGGAACUUGCAUAGGGGCAGUCUUAUGUUUGGUUUGU
rnacentral:lncRNA from 1 species